rnacentral:rRNA from 1 species
CCAAUAGCGUAUAUUAAAGUUGCUGCAGUUAAAAAGCUCGUAGUUGAAUUUCGGGACCAAUAUGUCGGUCGUGCCUCGGUACGUACUGGCAUCGUUGGUUUCUCCUUUCUGAAGAACCAUGAUGUCAUUUAUUUGGUGUCGUGGGGAAUCAGGACUGUUACUUUGAAAAAAUUAGAGUGUUUAAAGCAGGCUCACGCUUGAAUACAUUAGCAUGGAAUAAUGAAAUAGGGCGUUUGAUUCUAUUUUGUUGGUUUCUAGGAUCGACGUAAUGAUUAAUAGGGAUAGUUGGGGGCAUUAGUA